UAAAUGUCAGGAAUUGUGAAAAGCUGAGUUUAAAUGUAUUUGGCUCAGGUGUAUGUAAACUUCUGACUUCAACUGUAUUAUUAUUUGUGAUGCUAUCCUUGAUAUGAUCCUGCUAUUGUUUGCUACACAUGCCCAUGUGUGUGCACAUGCAUCUGUCUAUCCAAUGUUAUCAUGGUUUGUUAUAAGAGAUAUUAUACUUUCGAAAUCCACAAUGACCUGGGGAUGUCAAAGUCUAAUAUUGACUAUCUUCCAUAUUUCUACAGAUACCUUGCAACUGGAGAUUCCUUCAAAACGAUUUGGUUACCACGCCCAUCUGGGAUUGCCUAUCUGUGUCCUGCAGAACUUCAUGAGGAUGUAGAUGAGGACCAGGAGGGGAUCUGCAGGAUUUUUCAAGGAUGGGCGCUAACAACGCAGCACAGGAGGCAAUCCGUGUGCGGGAGAUCUUCACCUCCUACUUCUUCGAAGAGGGUUAUAUCAGCUGUGUCGGUGAACCCCUACCGAAUCUGAACUGGCUACAUAGAGGGCACAGUAUGAUCAGAGGUAUGUCUUGAUGUGAGAGAGGAUGCCAACCCCCAGUCCCAUCAUCGCCACCUCACCCGCUCGGGCCAACUGGGGAGACACCACGAGAGACACUAUUAUACAAUUGUGAUGAACUGAGAGAAUAUUACAUUUAGUCGCACUGUAAUUCAUGAAUCAUAUGCUGUCAUCCCUGCUCCUCUUUUCCUUUCUGUCUACUACACUUUUUCUCACACCUCUCUCCUCAUCUCCUCUUUAUUCCUCUGUGUUUAUCAUGCACACCAGAUGUGCAUUGAACAACAGACUGAACUUCUAUUUAUAAUAUAAGAUUACAAUUAUAAUAUUUAUAAUGCAUGUAUUGUGUAUUUAUAACACUUCGAUAACUUCUUUCAAUAAAGCGUUUCACAUUC